rnacentral:rRNA from 1 species
GAUGAACGCUGGCGGCGUGCCUAAUACAUGCAAGUCGAGCGAACAGAUGAGGAGCUUGCUCCUCUGACGUUAGCGGCGGACGGGUGAGUAACACGUGGAUAACCUACUUAUAAGACUGGGAUAACUUCGGGAAACCGGAUCUAAUACCGGAUAAUAUAUUGAACCGUAUGGUUGAAUAGUGAAAGACGGCUUUGCUGGCAGUUAUAGAGGGAUCCGCGCCGCAUUAGCUAGUUGGUAAGGUAACGGCUUAUCAAGGGGACGAUGCGUAGCCGACCGGAGAGGGUGGUCGGCCACACUGGAGCUGGGACACGGUCCAGACUCCUGCGGGAGGCAGCAGUAGGGAAUCUUCCGCAAUGGGCGGAAGCAUGACGGAGCAACGCCGCGUGAGUGAUGAAGGUCUUCGGAGCGUAAAACUCUGUUAUUAGGGAAGAACAAAUGUGUAAGGAACUAUGCCCGUCUUGACGGUACCUAGUCAGAAAGCCACGGCUAACUACGUG